UGGGUUGUGUCUCAGAGGUAGAGUUCUUGCCUAGCAUGUGUGAGGCACUGAGUUCGAUCCUCAGCACCACAU
rnacentral:tRNA from 1 species